CGAAGGGUGCAAGCGUUACUCGGAAUUACUGGGCGUAAAGCGUGCGUAGGUGGUUCGUUAAGUCUGUCGUGAAAUCCCCGGGCUCAACCUGGGAAUGGCGAUGGAUACUGGCGAGCUAGAGUGAGGUAGAGGAGAGUGGAAUUCCCGGUGUAGCAGUGAAAUGCGUAGAGAUCGGGAGGAACAUCAGUUGCGAAGGCGGCUCUCUGGACCAUCACUGACACUGAGGCACGAAAGCGUGGGGAGCAAACAGGAUUAGAUACCCUGGUAGUCCACGCCCUAAACGAUGCGAACUGGACGUUGGACUCAAUUAGGAGUUCAGUGUCGAAGCUAACGCGUUAAGUUCGCCGCCUGGGGAGUACGGUCGCAAGACUG
rnacentral:rRNA from 1 species